UCGCCCGGGCAGCACGCGUGAGGCACGCCAUUUUCUGGCGGCGCUUGCAAACUUUGUUUCCAAUUCGCUUCCUUGGGAUUGUGUGCGUUGCGUGAAACCGGUGAUGCCGCUGAGCAGCAAAGACAUGUGGGGUGUGCUGCGUGGCAGCUGCAACGAAACUCCUUGUGAUUGUCGGCGUUACGUCGUUUUUUGUUCACCGGACGACUCCACAGCAAACGCCAUUCGUUGCGACUACUGCAACCACUGCCCAGCGGCUCAUGGCCGAAUAACUGACUUGGGAAUUUCAUGACUGGCUCCUUCACAAUAUGCCAGAAUUCUCUGACAGCGUUCAGCCUGUCCUGCAAGGAAAAGCAGUUUCAGAAAGGCUGCAAAAAAAACUUUCCCGGCAGCUACGCGCAGAAUUGACCUUGUUUCUGGAUGAGAAUAAUCUCAUUACCACUGGGAACAAAGGGGAGCGUCGCUCAAUGUACAAAGUCCUUGGUGAAGCACUCGCCGCGAAAUACCCAAUGAUGUUGUGGGAUGAGCCUGAAGAGCACCUUUUGGCUACGAGGACCCAUGUUUAUGUAAGUACUCUGAAAAGCGCUGUGUAUAACAAGCUGAUGCUCCUUUCAAAUGAGAGUAUACUUUUUAUUCCAAUCGUUGUAGGCAGUUCUGUUCGCUUCACUGGUUCA